UUCGACUAUUUGGGGUCAGCCCUAAUAAAGUCAGUGACUUUGGUUAUGGUAAGGGUAGGGGGCUUCGGGGGCUGUCAACACCUUUAACACGAACAUAGCUAGUUAGCUAGCACUUCCGGUCUGUACAAGAUGUCCCAGAGUGUCUCAGAGACGCAUCCGGAAUAGUCUCAUAGAGAUGCACUGGGUGCUGAAAGGUACCUUUGGCCUGUUUUUUGCUUCUUUUGUCUGUUACAACCUACUCUGGUAGUGAGAUAGGUUGUAAAAAAAGGAACACCAUGUAUUUGACAUUUACUCAGGAGGCCUGUAAUAUUCUUGUAGAGGAUUGAAUUGGUGCCAUUUGUAGUGAACAAAUGUGGGUGCUGAAAGCAGAAGCGAUGAUAAUGACUGAGAAUUUAUUUUUUCGCCGUUUUAACUCCAAAACCCGCCAAUGUUGUUGCUCCAAGUCUAAGCGGGCGCCAUCUUGAUUAUUGUGCAAUACCUGCAAGCUGCCUGCCUGCUGUCGUCGUUUCUGCAGAGAGGAAACAUGCCGCUUGAGAACAUACGGUGUUUUUUGCCAUUUUGUGGACGAUCCGUUAGAGAUAUGUAGACAUGGGUAUCAAAUGAAAGGUCUGCUCGGGCCGGAUCGAUUGAUACCCCCCCAUCACUGUGGGAUGUUCCGUUCUCAAUCUACAGGCCUAUAAAGCAUGGGAGUGCUUUUAGUGACAGGAAUGUUGAUGAAUACUCCUGUUUUUAUCAAUAUUUCAAUGUUGUCAUUAGGAAAUGGGUUGUAUGGACUGAAAGUGUUUUAAAGAUAUCUAUCAAUAAAAGUCAGCAUUUAAACAAUAAA